rnacentral:rRNA from 1 species
GACGGAAGGUGCAAGCGUUGCUCGGAAUCACUGGGCGUAAAGGGUGCGUAGGCGGCCGCGCAAGUCUGGCGUGAAAGCCCCGGGCUCAGCCCGGGAAGGGCGCUCGAAACGGCGCGGCUCGAGUGCCGGAGGGGAGAGUGGAAUUCCUGGUGUAGCGGUGAAAUGCGUAGAUAUCAGGAGGAACACCGGUGGCGAAGGCGACAUCCUGGACCGGUAUUGAUGCUGAGGCGCGAAAGCCAGGGGAGCAAACGGG